UACCAGCACCCCGAGUGGUCGGGACGUUUAUUGGGCCUAAAGCAUCCGUAGCCGGUUCUACAAGUCUUCCGUUAAAUCCAGCUGCUUAACAGAUGGGCUGCGGAAGAUACUAUGGAGCUAGGAGGCGGGAGAGGCAAGCGGUACUCGAUGGGUAGGGGUAAAAUCCGUUGAUCCAUUGAAGACCACAGUGGCGAAGGCGGCUUGCCAGAACGCGCUCGACGGUGAGGGAUGAAAGCUGGGGG
rnacentral:rRNA from 1 species